rnacentral:tRNA from 1 species
GCGGGCGUGGUGAAAUUGGUAGACACGCUAGACUUAGGAUCUAGUGCCUUGCGGUGUGAAGGUUCGAGUCCUUUCGCCCGCA